GCGGCAGGCCUAACACAUGCAAGUCGAGCGGAAACGAGUUAUCUGACCCUUCGGGGAACGAUAACGGCGUCGAGCGGCGGACGGGUGAGUAAUGCCUGGGAAAUUGCCCUGAUGUGGGGGAUAACCAUUGGAAACGAUGGCUAAUACCGCAUAAUAGCUUCGGCUCAAAGAGGGGGACCUUCGGGCCUCUCGCGUCAGGAUAUGCCCAGGUGGGAUUAGCUAGUUGGUGAGGUAAGGGCUCACCAAGGCAACGAUCCCUAGCUGGUCUGAGAGGAUGAUCAGCCACACUGGAACUGAGACACGGUCCAGACUCCUACGGGAGGCAGCAGUGGGGAAUAUUGCACAAUGGGCGCAAGCCUGAUGCAGCCAUGCCGCGUGUAUGAAAAAGGCCUUCGGGUUGUAAAGUACUUUCAGCAGUGAGGAAGGUUCAUAUGUUAAUAGCGUAUGGAUUUGACGUUAGCUGCNNAAAAAGCACCGGCUAACUCCUUGCCANCAGCCGCGGA
rnacentral:rRNA from 1 species